GACGAACGCUGGCGGCGUGCUUAACACAUGCAAGUCGAACGGUAAGGCCCUUCGGGGUACACGAGUGGCGAACGGGUGAGUACACGUGGGUGAUCUGCCCUGCACUUCGGGAUAAGCCUGGGAAACUGGGUCUAAUACCGGAUAGGACCACUGCCUGCAUGGGUGGUGGUGGAAAGCUUUUGCGGUGUGGGAUGGGCCCGCGGCCUAUCAGCUUGUUGGUGGGGUGAUGGCCUACCAAGGCGACGACGGGUAGCCGGCCUGAGAGGGUGACCGGCCAGACUGGGACUGAGAUACGGCCCAGACUCCUACGGGAGGCAGCAGUGGGGAAUAUUGCACAAUGGGCGCAAGCCUGAUGCAGCGACGCCGCGUGAGGGAUGACGGCCUUCGGGUUGUAAACCUCUUUCAGCACCGACGAAGCGCAAGUGACGGUAGGUGCAGAAGAAGGACCGGCCAAUUACGUGCCAGCCGCCGCAGUAA
rnacentral:rRNA from 1 species